GACGUAGGGCGCGAGCGUUGUCCGGAUUUAUUGGGCGUAAAGAGCUCGUAGGCGGCUUGUCGCGUCGUCCGUGAAAACCCACAGCUCAACUGUGGGCUUGCGGUCGAGUACGGGCAGGCUAGAGUUCGGUAGGGGAGACUGGAAUUCCUGGUGUAGCGGUGAAAUGCGCAGAUAUCAGGAGGAACACCGGUGGCGAAGGCGGGUCUCUGGGCCGAUACUGACGCUGAGGAGCGAAAGCCGUGGGGAGCGAACAGG
rnacentral:rRNA from 1 species